rnacentral:lncRNA from 10 species
AGAUGAGGCAGGGACAAGGCAGCAGGACGUCGCUUGGGUGAUGGUUGGAAUUUUCAUGGGGUUCUAAGUACAAUGAAAAACCAGGGAGAGGUCUGUGCAGGGCACUGGCCCAUCUCAGUUGUAGAGCUCUGGCUGUGGUGUGGAAUAUAGAGUUCAGGGACCAAGAGUGUGAAGAAGGGGCCCCCAAGAGAUCCGUGUGGAUGUCCGCAGUGUUGGGAAUCAGGAGAGCAGUAGUAGGAAUUGCGGGAAGUGUUCAAAUUCAGAUAGUAUUUUGGAAUUAAAGCCUUACCGAUGACUUAGGUGCGGGGUGAGAGGGAAAAAGAGAAACUAAUAUUGACUUGCAGUGUUUUGACCUAAGCAACUUGGUGAAUGGAACUGGUAUUUAUUAAAAUGGGAAAGAUCCAGAUUGAAACAGGUUUUGGGGUUAGGGCUGGGGGAAAAGAAAUCAAGAAUUCUCCCUGAAAUACAUGCAUGUCUAUUUUAAGAUAUACAUGUAGAAUAUCAAUUGAACAGGUAUUUGCAUAUAUAGUUCUGGAACUCAGAUCAAGUGGUCAAAGAUAGAGAUAGAAAGACUUUUUUUUAAAAGGCCAGGUGUGGUGGCUCAUGCCUGUAAUCCCAGUACUUUGGGAGGCUCAAGUGGGAGGAUUGCUUGAGCCCAGGAGUUCGAGACCAGUCUGGGCAACAUAGUAAGGUCCCAUCUCUACACAAAAACUUAAAAAAAAAAUUAUCCAGGCAUGGUGGCAUGCACCUUUAGUUCCAGCUACUUGUGGGACUGAGAUGGCAGAAUGAUUUGAGCCUAUGGCUGCAGUGAGUCGUGAUCAUGCCACUGCACUCCAGCCUGGGUGACAGACUGUCUUUAAAAACAACAACAAAAAAAAAAAAAAGGAAAGAAAGAUAAAGAAAAUAAAAGGAGUGAGGGAGGAUAGAUAGGUGGCUAGGUUGAGGGAUGGAUAGGUGGAUUACAGAACCUGUAGCAUCUAAAGCCACAGGCAUGAAUGGAAUACCUACAACAUGUGUAGACAGAGAAGGCGAGAUGUCUGAGCACUGGGUCCCAGGGAGCUCUUAUGUGUGGACCUCAGGAGGAGGAGGUGAUCCUGCAGGACAGACUGGAAAGCAAUGAGCAGGAGGGUAAGAAAAAUACCCAGGAAGGAUUAAAUACUGUGCACAUAUACAAAAUUCUAGAAGACUUCAAGCCAAUUUCUAAUAAAAUCAAUAAGACAUUGGUUAUCUGAGAUAAAGAGGCAUAGAUUGCAAAGAAGCACAGGAAGCUAGAAUUGUAGACAUUCUGAUUGGUGAUGCAUUUGAAGACAAUAAAGCAUAGAGCUACAGAAGUGAGUAGCUACAUCAUAAAGAAAACAGAAGCAUGCAAACACCCUUGGCUAGCCCAACUGCAUGCCUGGAAGAGCACGGAGGAAGUAACUGCAGAGCACAACUAAAGUUAAUGUGGCUGGGCACAGUGGCUCACGCCUGUAAUCCCAGCACUGUUAAUGAAGACAAUGAGGGCAAAAAGAGACGGGAAUUGUGGGGGAGAGCUGAGCAUUAGCUGGUCUUG